CAUAGGUUAAUGAGGCGAACCGGGGGAACUGAAACAUCUAAGUACCCCGAGGAAAAGAAAUCAACCGAGAUUCCCCCAGUAGCGGCGAGCGAACGGGGAGGAGCCCAGAGCCUGAAUCAGUGUGUGUGUUAGUGGAAGCGUCUGGAAAGGCGCGCGAUACAGGGUGACAGCCCCGUACACAAAAAUGCACAUGCUGUGAGCUCGAUGAGUAGGGCGGGACACGUGGUAUCCUGUCUGAAUAUGGGGGGACCAUCCUCCAAGGCUAAAUACUCCUGACUGACCGAUAGUGAACCAGUACCGUGAGGGAAAGGCGAAAAGAACCCCGGCGAGGGGAGUGAAAAAGAACCUGAAACCGUGUACGUACAAGCAGUGGGAGCACGCUUCGGCGUGUGACUGCGUACCUUUUGUAUAAUGGGUCAGCGACUUAUAUUCUGUAGCAAGGUUAACCGAAUAGGGGAGCCGAAGGGAAACCGAGUCUUAACUGGGCGUUAAGUUGCAGGGUAUAGACCCGAAACCCGGUGAUCUAGCCAUGGGCAGGUUGAAGGUUGGGUAACACUAACUGGAGGACCGAACCGACUAAUGUUGAAAAAUUAGCGGAUGACUUGUGGCUGGGGGUGAAAGGCCAAUCAAACCGGGAGAUAGCUGGUUCUCCCCGAAAGCUAUUUAGGUAGCGCCUCGUGAAUUCAUCUCCGGGGGUAGAGCACUGUUUCGGCAAGGGGGUCAUCCCGACUUACCAACCCGAUGCAAACUGCGAAUACCGGAGAAUGUUAUCACGGGAGACACACGGCGGGUGCUAACGUCCGUCGUGAAGAGGGAAACAACCCAGACCGCCAGCUAAGGUCCCAAAGUCAUGGUUAAGUGGGAAACGAUGUGGGAAGGCCCAGACAGCCAGGAUGUUGGCUUAGAAGCAGCCAUCAUUUAAAGAAAGCGUAAUAGCUCACUGGUCGAGUCGGCCUGCGCGGAAGAUGUAACGGGGCUAAACCAUG
rnacentral:rRNA from 1 species